CCUAGACGGAAGUCUAAACUUACUUUUCUGGUUGUUCCUUGUUGCAGGAAUCUGUGCUCGCAGAGUUUCCAGUUUGGAUAUUGUAUACGGGAAAAACCCGGUCGGACCACGGGGAAACCAAUUGGACCGCGGUGACGCCGGCUACGGACCGCGGAAGUGCGGGUAGCGGGUGGCCGUCGGAUUUACUGCUCGAAGUCGCCGACAAUCAGAGAACAAGUGUCCAAUUGCGGUGUGAUAUGUGGGAAUAUUUAUUUACGAUUCAGAUUAUGAAGAUGAAACGUGGCAAUUCAUUCCACUUGGCGAAGACAUCUGUUGCUAUGUUUGCAGGGCAACCUGGGAAAACUGCUCAAGGAUGCAGAUGCCACAGCUCAGAACAAAGUUCGAGAGAGUGGCUAUGAACACCCAGCGACCUGUCCCACACUCGCAUCCACUUGCAACACGAUUCCUGGAUGUUUGGCAAUAUAUGCCACUCAGCGAAGAGUAUUCCGCAACUUCCGAGGUUUUCUACAUUGCAUCAGUAGUGGUCAAGCAUGAUAAUUGUUCAUAGAAACAUAGACACAUAGAAACAUAGAAAUUAGGUGCAGGAGUAGGCCAUUCGGCCCUUCGAGCCUGCAACGCCAUUCAAUAUGAUCAACGCUGAUCAUCAAACUCAGUAUCCUGUACCUGCCUUCUCUCCAUACCCCCUGAUCCCUUUAGCCACAGGGGCCACAUCUAACUCCCUCUUAAAUAUAGCUAAUGAACAGGCCUCAACUACCGUAUGUGGCAGAGAAUUCCAGAGAUUCACCACUCUCUGUGUAAAAAAUGUUUUUCUCAUCUCAGUCCUAAAAUAUUUCCCCCUUAUCCUUAAACUGUGACCUCUUGUUCUGGACUGCCCCAUCAUCGGGAAAAAUCUUCCUGCAUCUAGCCUGUCCAACCACUUAAGAAUUUUGUAAGUGUCUAUAAGUUCCCCCCUCAAUCGGCGGCGGCGACCUGAAUCCGGGGCUGUGCCGCGGGCCAGUGGACGACAUCGUCGGGAGCUCGCAGGUUACAGGCUGGUGACCUAAUUUUACGGAGCUCCCGCAGCAACAGCUGCGUCCGCUGGACUAGAGGGCGGCAUCUUCCGCAGCUUCGUCCAACCCAGGCCGCGGAGCUUGAACCCACCCGUUCGCGGAACUUGGUUGAGCCGCGGGACUGACUACCAUCACCCGGUGGGUUAACAACAGAUCGCCUCAGCGCAGAGGGAGAAUAAGAAGGGAAGAGACAGUGACUUUAAGACUUUUGCCUCCAUCACAGUGAGGAGGUGCCUGGUGAACUCACUGUGGUGGAUGUUAACUUGUGUUUAUUGUGUGUUUUGUUAUUUAAUAUAUGUAUUACAUUAUUAUAUGUAGGGGAGAAUAAGUGUUCGGCACGGACUAGAAGGGCUGAGAUGGCCUGUUUCCGUACUGUAAUUGUUAUAUGGUUAUAUGACUGCAGGCACCGAAAUUUCGUUCAGACCGAAAGGUCUGAAUGACAAAUAAAGGAAUCUAAUCAAAUUUAAUCUUAUCUAAUCUAAUCUAAUAUUCUAAAUUCUAGCGAGUACAAGCCGAGUCUAUCCAAUCUUUCUUCAUAUGAAAGUCCUGACGUCCCAGGAAUCAGUCUGGUGAACCUUCUCUCUACUCCGUCUACGGCAAGAAUGUGUUUCUUCAGACUAGGAGACCAAAACGGUAUGCAAUACUCCAGGUGUACUCUCACCAAGACCCUGUACAAUUGCAGUAGAACUUGCCUGCUCCUAUACUCAUAUCCUUUUGCGAUCAAUGCUAACAUACCAUUUGCUUUCUUCACUGCCUGCUGCACCUGCAUGCCUACUUUCAAUGACUGGUGUACCAUGACACCCAGGUCUCGUUGCAUCUCCCCUUUUUCCUAAUCGUCCACCAUUCAGAUCAUUAACACACAUUUGCUCUGGUUUCUCCCACCAUGGAUGCUGCCUGACAGGCAGUGUGUUGCAAGUAUUUUAUUAUAUCUGUGCAUUGCUGGGAUUGUAGAUUCCAGCAUUGUAUUUUCUUCUGCCUUUCCCUUCCCAAAAUCAUGUUAUUUUUCAUCCUCCAGUGAAAUAGUGAGAUUAACACGUGUGCAUCACCUCAGUGUUUUGUUUGACAUCUAUCUAUAUAUUACAAAAUCUCUUUUCUUGACCGCAUUUGGCCUUCUGUGCUGCGAUUUCCGAGAGAACACCGCCACCUACGGCCGUCAUUUUUGGCCACCUCACUCAGAUCCCCCCCGUCGCAUGUGUGCCGAGGAUUUUUCCUGUCGAUGAAUAAUGACAGAGAUAUUAAUGUUUUUACAAUAUUCCGCAUUCACUCUGCUGCCCCCGCUGGCGGCAGGGGGGAGGGAGGGACUAUAAAACCAGGAAGUGGUGUGCCUCAAUUAAUCUCUGCAAGAUGGAGCUCUGUCAAUUAGUCUCUGUCACUCUGAGCUCUGAAUGACACUGGACAAAUGUCUACAGCACUGUGAGCACCCUUAAUUGGUUUGACAAUGAAUAUAGGGUUAGAGGUAAAAACACACUGCCUGCAAAUGGUUGUUUGGGUUUGGAUUGAAGUAAAAAGUCUCUCUCUCUCUGUUUUUUCUUUUUCUUUUUCAAAGACUUUAUUCAACACAUCAAAUAAUACAACAGAUCAAGUCAUACACAAAACGAACUAACAUUAUAUCGUGUCAUUAUAGUACAACAUUACAAUAAUUAUUCACAAUACUCUCAAACCCACGCGGUGACCAGCGCCCAUGGAAUACCUCCAAAUUCCCCGUGAACACCGCAUGUUCCCUCUCCAGGGACACACGUGCACGGACGUAGGCCCGAAAGAGGGGCAAGCAGCCGACUCUUGCCUUACCAUCCAUCGCCUGCUGCCUGGACCCGCGUAUGGCCAUCUUGGCCAGGCCCAGAAGUAGACAGACAGG